GAUGAACGCUGGCGGCAUGCCUAAUACAUGCAAGUCGUGCGAGAAGCUAUCUUCGGAUAGCGGACAGCGGCGGACGGGUGAGUAACACGUAGAAAUAUACCCCAAGGUGAGGGAUAAGCAUCGGAAACGGUGUCUAAUACCGCAUAUUAUCUAAGGAUAAAAGAUUUAUCGCCAUGGGAAUAGCCUGCGUCUGAUUAGCUAGUUGGUAGGGUAAAGGCCUACCAAGGCGAUGAUCGGUAGCUGGUUUGAGAGGAUGAUCAGCCACACUGGGACUGAGACACGGCCCAGACUCCUACGGGAGGCAGCAGUAGGGAAUUUUCCACAAUGGACGAAAGUCUGAUGGAGCAAUGCCGCGUGCAGGAUGAAGGUCUUCGGAUUGUAAACUGCUUUUAUAGUUGAAGAUUAUGACGGUAAGCUAUGAAUAAGGACCGGCUAACUACGUG
rnacentral:rRNA from 1 species